UCGCGUCGUGAAAUAAUAGGUGAUCGUUGCGUUUCGUCUUACUUAUCUGUUUUAUUUAAGCAUGUGUAUGCAUAAUCAACUGUCAGGAGUGCUAUAAAAGAUGACAGAUUGUUUCUCAGAUUUGCAUUACUUCUCAGAUUCGUAAAAUGAUGUAUCAACCAGGAACACGACAACAGCUCCGCACAUUUGCGUUUUUAUACGCGAUGAGCGAAGAAAAAAGAUGCGGUACGAGUGCGUUUCGCCGCUAUCUGUCCGUCGGCUUGGCGAUGUGAAUUUAUUGCUACAAUUGCGAUGGAUGCUGGCUGGAUUUACGGACGAAUCUACCAUCGAGAUAAUGCUUUGACCGUCAAUUCUUCGGCUUGUGAUCAAAAUAUUCAGUUCCUUGCAUCGAUUAUCUAUCACCCUUGUAGAUUGCAGGUCAAUGAUGAACUUUGUGCGUGUAAUUGAUGCUACGAAAUAUAUAUCGUUCCGUAAUGUAACAAAAUACGCGUCGGGAGUGCCGUUUAAAAGUGUCGCGCGAUUUUCGGGUUCUCGGGUACGCACGCGAGCAAUGCGUGCGAGUGUUUCGAAUGCGUGUGAGUGUUUCGAAGGACCGUGAGGAGGAGGUGGAGGAAGGCCUAGGAAAGGCAUCGGGCGACAGCAGAGCAACGAUACGCAGCUGUACGCCCGUGUGCAUGUCAAUGGUCGCCGGGAUAACCAGAUCCACCCACGCAACGAUAAUAAAGUCACGGACGAUUCGUUCCUUUCGCUUUACUUCGGAUAAGGACUGAAAGCUUGCCACGACCAUGAUCUUCGAUAUGCAAUUCCGCUCGCGAGCCUCCUUCGUUUUUACCAAACGCAUUGCCGACGAAGGACAUCGUAAAAAGCAUUCAGAUCUUCGUCAAUCUCUACGAAGGUGUAACUUGCAGAAAACUCAGGACGUCGGAUUUAUAUCGAGUAAUGAUCGUGCAUACACACGCACACGCACACACAACACCCGCAUCAACUUUGUGCGCGUAAUCGGUGCUACAAAAUAUAUUC